UGGGGAAUAUUGCACAAUGGGCGCAAGCCUGAUGCAGCCAUGCCGCGUGUAUGAAGAAGGCCUUCGGGUUGUAAAGUACUUUCAGUCGGGAGGAAGGUGUCAAGGUUAAUAACCUUGGCAAUUGACGUUACCGACAGAAGAAGCACCGGCUAACUCCGUGCCAGCAGCCGCGGUAAUACGGAGGGUGCAAGCGUUAAUCGGAAUUACUGGGCGUAAAGCGCACGCAGGCGGUUGAUUGAGUCAGAUGUGAAAUCCCCGGGCUUAACCCGGGAAUUGCAUCUGAUACUGGUCAGCUAGAGUCGUGUAGAGGGGGGUAGAAUUCCAUGUGUAGCGAUGAAAUGCGUAGAGAUGUGGAGGAAUACCGGUGGCGAAGGCGGCCCCCUGGACAAAGACUGACGCUCAGGUGCGAAAGCGUGGGGAGCAAACAGG
rnacentral:rRNA from 1 species